rnacentral:rRNA from 1 species
UUGUCUCAAAGAUUAAGCCAUGCAUGUCUAAGUAUAAGCAAUAUAUACAGUGAAACUGCGAAUGGCUCAUUAAAUCAGUUAUCGUUUAUUUGAUAGUACCUUACUACUUGGAUAACCGUGGUAAUUCUAGAGCUAAUACAUGCUAAAAGUCCCGACCUCUGGAAGGGACGUAUUUAUUAGAUAAAAAACCAAUGCCUCCGGGCUCCUUGGUGAUUCAUGAUAACUUUACGAAUCGCAUGGCCUUGCGCCGGCGAUGGUUCAUUCAAAUUUCUGCCCUAUCAACUUUCGAUGGUAGGAUAGUGGCCUACCAUGGUUUCAACGGGUAACGGGGAAUUAGGGUUCUAUUCCGGAGAGGGAGCCUGAGAAACGGCUACCACAUCCAAGGAAGGCAGCAGGCGCGCAAAUUACCCAAUCCCGACACGGGGAGGUAGUGACAAUAAAUACUGAUACAGGGCCCUUUCGGGUCUUGUAAUUGGAAUGAGUACAAUUUAAAUCCAUUAACGAGGAACAAUUGGAGGGCAAGUCU